rnacentral:tRNA from 3 species
GCCCAGGUGGCGGAAUUGGUAGACGCGCUGGCUUCAGGUGUCAGUGAUCGCAAGGUCGUGGAAGUUCGAGUCUUCUCCUGGGCACCA